GGGACACGUGGUAUCCUGUCUGAAUAUGGGGGGACCAUCCUCCAAGGCUAAAUACUCCUGACUGACCGAUAGUGAACCAGUACCGUGAGGGAAAGGCGAAAAGAACCCCGGCGAGGGGAGUGAAAAAGAACCUGAAACCGUGUACGUACAAGCAGUGGGAGCACAGGUUUACCUGUGUGACUGCGUACCUUUUGUAUAAUGGGUCAGCGACUUAUAUUCUGUAGCAAGGUUAACCGUAUAGGGGAGCCGGAGGGAAACCGAGUCUUAAUUGGGCGUUAAGUUGCAGGGUAUAGACCCGAAACCCGGUGAUCUAGCCAUGGGCAGGUUGAAGGUUGGGUAACACUAACUGGAGGACCGAACCGACUAAUGUUGAAAAAUUAGCGGAUGACCUGUGGCUGGGGGUGAAAGGCCAAUCAAACCGGGAGAUAGCUGGUUCUCCCCGAAAGCUAUUUAGGUAGCGCCUCGUGAAUUCAUCUCCGGGGGUAGAGCACUGUUUCGGCUAGGGGGCCAUCCCGGCUUACCAACCCGAUGCAAACUGCGAAUACCGGAGAAUGUUAUCACGGGAGACACACGGCGGGUGCUAACGUCCGUCGUGAAGAGGGAAACAACCCAGACCGCCAGCUAAGGUCCCAAAGUCAUGGUUAAGUGGGAAACGAUGUGGGAAGGCCCAGACAGCCAGGAUGUUGGCUUAGAAGCAGCCAUCAUUUAAAGAAAGCGUAAUAGCUCACUGGUCGAGUCGGCCUGCGCGGAAGAUGUAACGGGGCUAAACCAUGCACCGAAGCUGCGGCAGCGACACUGUGUGUUGUUGGGUAGGGGAGCGUUCUGUAAGCCUGUGAAGGUGUGUCGUGAGGCAUGCUGGAGGUAUCAGAAGUGCGAAUGCUGACAUAAGUAACGAUAAAGCGGGUGAAAAGCCCGCUCGCCGGAAGACCAAGGGUUCCUGUCCAACGUUAAUCGGGGCAGGGUGAGUCGACCCCUAAGGCGAGGCCGAAAGGCGUAGUCGAUGGGAAACGGGUUAAUAUUCCCGUACUUGGUGUUACUGCGAAGGGGGGACGGAGAAGGCUAUGUUGGCCGGGCGACGGUUGUCCCGGUUUAAGCGUGUAGGUGUGUGUUCCAGGUAAAUCCGGUUCACUUUAACACUGAGGCGUGACGACGAGGCACUACGGUGCUGAAGCAACAAAUGCCCUGCUUCCAGGAAAA
rnacentral:rRNA from 1 species